GAAGCGUGGUGCGGGGUGGGGCCUGCCGAGCCCGGGAGGGUGGGGGGCGGCCGAGAUCCGGCCGCGCACCUGAGGUGAGGAGAGGUGAGGCGGGGGACCCGCGGCUGGCGGCCCCCAUCGAGGGGUGCGCGGCUGCGGGAGCGCGGCCCGGCCCGGUUCUGUCCCCGGAGGAGGCGGGCGCGGCGGGGCAGAGCUCUCCCGCCGGGGAAGCCGCUGCGGCCGGCCGGGAAGGAGGAAGGGAGCGGGGGCGAAGCGGCGGCGCGGUUGCGGGCGGUAGCGGCGUUCCCCCGCGCUCCCCGGGGAGGAAGAGGCGCGCAGGCCGCGGUGUGAGGCCGCGGCUGCAGCCGGAGGGGCGGGCGGCGGUGGGGCCGCGGUCCCCGGUCGCCGCUCCAGCCGCCCCGGCCCGGCCCGGCCCUGCCCCGGGGCUCGGUGGCGCCGGCGUCCCUCCCGGCAGGCCUCAAGCGCUGCCCGCGGCUGCUCGGCCUGGCCUGGCCUGGCGGCGGGGGCGGUUCUGCCCUCCCCGCCCGCCUGCCUGGGGUUGCAGGGCUCAGGCAGCUCUGCCUUCCUUCCUAAAGCGUUAGGGCAGUACCGGUUGUGUGGUGCGAGUUUGUGUUUCAAGACGCCUGUGGAGUCUAGUGUGAAGUUUUAUUUCCACUUUCUCUUUUUUGGUGUGGUUUUUGUUGUUUUUUAGGCAGCUGCUUUCAGUAUGAAAUGUCGAGGAUGCUGUGUGUUUUAGUAUUUGCAUGAUUAAUGAAACAGCUUGGCUGUCUCAAGGUAUAAGAGGCUCUAGCGAGGUUAGACUUGCAACACCGACUGAACUUGCAUAUCGAAUUUUUCUUUCUGUUUGUAAUCAACUUUUAUCCACCAGGCUCUUUAAACAGCAAUCUUCAGUUCUCAGGUCAAUAUGCAUUACGACGUUAGGAUAACUUUUCAAGGUAUUGCUUAAAAUGGAAUGUUUUUUACAGAAGUGGCUUGUAUCCUCGUUCUCUAAUUGAGCAGGAGGCAGAAACCCACGCAGGUAUUGUGCGCUUUUGUUUUCUAGUACCUGCCGACUCCCUUCUCAGCUUUUAAACCUGGAUUAUAUUAUAGAAGUCCCGGCUCUCUAGUCGCUUAAAAUAUUUAUUGGCUUGUUAAACUGAACCACAUCUGCUGCUGUGAAGCCAACAUUUGUUUUAGAAUUCCAUCACAGGACUGUACUACUCUUUAGCAGAAGGCAUUGUAAAGCUAACUUUACCAUAAUUUCUUAAGAAGAGGUCAUAAAAAGGCAGUGGAAACAGCAUAGCCCUAACCCAGAACAGGUAGCCAUAUUCCUUUAGAGCAUUAAAGUAUUUCUAAACACACUCAUUAACGGUAGUACUUGAAUAUUUUUUGUAUUAUCAGCUGUGAAAAAGGUUAGCUCAGACUUGCUAAAACUUAAUUGUCUGUCAGUCCAUCGGGAGGAACUAGUAUGGCAAGAUAACUUUGCGAUGUCUCAUAGUACGAGCCCAAAAGGACAUUCACUGAUACUUAGAAAGUGGGAGUUUUGAAAAAUGGUAGGUGGAAAUACUUCUUCAAACCAUGUAAUUAGAAUGAAACUAGCUGCCAGAGGAAAUCAUUCAGCAAGAUUCAAAGCAAGCAGGUAUUUGUAUGAAUACCAAAAUGGUCUGGUGCCUUUAUAACGAAAGCCAAAAAAACAUUUAGGAGAGAGAUUAAAGCACAUGAGUCAGGGUUCAAACUAAUCUUUAUGGGAAUGAGAACUACUUUUCUGUGUUACAGAGUAUUAAAAUGUGUCUUCCACAGUGAUCUUGUGCUGUCCUCGAGUUACCCGUUUCUGAGCCGUGGCAGGGAGAGGGUGGUGGACCAGCAGGCUUGUGAGCUUUGCCACAUGUCAGGUAAAACAGAACCGCGCAUUUGAGUUAAAUGAGAAGCAGCCUCCAGGCUGUGCCAGUCUGUGAUCCAAUCUGUCUGUCCAGGAACAGCUAUAGACUUGCUGUUCUCACUGCUGACACGCCAGCUGACAGCAGUCAGAAUUCAUACGGGACUGGAUCCCCCUCACAAACAGAGGCGAGCACAAAUUUAAUUGAACUUUUUUAUGUAUGUUUGAUGUAGCACAGUGCACCAUUGAACCACCUACAGUCACAAACCAGUCCUCCGGGGAUAGAAACACCCACCCACAAGUGGUGAACUCUGGUUUUAGGAAGUUAAACUGUAGAGUGUCCAUACUAGCGAUCCCAUGGUGGCUACGUGGGGAGGUCUUUAUAGGUCGAGGAAUUAGGGUUUCUAUUGGCAUGAAGUUCUUGCAUAAAUAUCAUUACCCUGUUUCUGGCUGGCUUGAAAUUUCCACUGCAUUCUCCUGAAUAGACAUAUAUGCCCCCCAUUGUUUUUGUUCUCUCUUUUUUUUUUUUUUAUUUUAUUUAAACCACUGCUGUACUAGAGAAAUACAGUCUCCUUAGUCCUGGAGUCAGCUAGAAAGCUUUAGCUGAACACUGUGCUGUUUCUCCAUAGUGAUAUAAAUCACCCAAUCUCACAUUUUCUAGUUUAUUGCUGCAGGAUUUUUGAUACUAUUAAAUAUUUUGGGUUUUCUCCUCACAGAAGGAUCCCAGGUUACUUAAAGUUCCGUAUAUAUCCUGGAAUAAGGAUUGCAAUAAGGACAGCUAGAUUUAUGGCAUGCUGAAAUUGUCUGUAAUAUGGAUAAAGCAAUAAGUUGUCCAAUACAGAUUUUUUUGCAGAGGCUGGUACUGAACAGCGAAAUGGAUUCUGUGAAGAACUCGGGAUCUCGGAAACCUUGCUUCAAGUAAAAUAGCAACAUUUCAGUCUACCUUUUCUCCAAUAUGCAAACAAAAUAGUGGUAUUAAAUAUAUUUGUAUAGAAGAUGACCUUUUAUACGCUCCAUUACACGUGUUUCUUUGCCUUGAGAAGACGUAAGAACAUUCUGAUGGCUGUCAAUCCGUUCUGUUGAUUCACCUUUUUAAGGAUACACAACCAACGUUGACAAUGCACGCCGUGUUUUGAGCAGGGUUAAUGAUGGACUGCUUGUACUGACAAUAUUGUUGUUCCUACCUGAGAAACACAGUUUUAGGGUCAUAAAAUGUCAUGAGUUCAAAGAAAAUUUGGACUUUUCUUGUGGCAUAUGGAAGUUGAAGAAAUGACGUUGGUUUUUUUUCAUGCUUUGUUGGGGUAUGUGCAAGUACGGAAAUUCCUCAGUUGCCGUAAGGUACUCGGGAAGGAGCGAACUUUUGGGGUGGAGGCAAGUUCUCCGCACACCACCCCUACGCACCACUCAUGUAUUUGUUCAGGCAAAUCCACGGGAGGUGGAAGUCAGCAGCAAAUGGUUGUGUGCACAGAAAAGGGCUAAGCAGUGGGUGUACCAUAAAGCAACAGAUAAAGACUGGCUCCUCUUCCCCUUUUGGUAUUGGUUUGGCCCCUGGCAGGUCAUGUACUCAUUUAGGCAGAGGGUCUCCUGCAUGUAUGAAUGUUAAACUAAAGCAGAAGUGCGCGAUGGUGUCUGUGAAGUCUAGUCAACCUUGUGUAUUUUCCAGGCGAAUCAUGCUGUGAUUCACCGAAAACAUGUAAUGUUCUAUUGCAAAAUACUUGCUUACAGGAGACCUUUUGUUCUGCAGGCUUUGGAUUUUUCACUGUUUACACUUUUGCCUAUAUGAAAAUGUAAAAUGAUAACAUUUAAUAAAAUACAUACACCAU